AGGACGAACGCUGGCGGCGUGCUUAACACAUGCAAGUCACGGGGGCUCGCAAGAGCAACCGGCGAACGGGUGCGUAACACGUGAGCAACCUGCCUUUGUGUGGGGGAUAGCCGGGCUAACGCCCGGGUAAUACCGCAUACGGUUCCCGCGAGGAGUCUCGUGGGAAAGAAACCUCCGGGGCACAGAGAGGGGCUCGCGGCCUAUCAGCUAGUUGGCGGGGUAAUGGCCCACCAAGGCGACGACGGGUAGCUGGUCUGAGAGGAUGGCCAGCCACAUUGGGACUGAGAGACGGCCCAGACUCCUACGGGAGGCAGCAGUGGGGAAUCUUGCGCAAUGGCCGAAAGGCUGACGCAGCGACGCCGCGUGUGGGAGGACGCCGUUUCGGGUGUAAAACCGACUGGUUCGGCCCCGGGGUAACGAACGAGCCGCUAGUUCGUAGCGCCUGACGGUACCGGUGAGGAAGCGACCGGCUAACGUCCGUCGCCAGCAGCCGC
rnacentral:rRNA from 1 species